CACGUAGGCGGCAAGGUAAGUCAAAGGUGAAAGCCCUCGGCUCAACCGAGGAAUUGCCUUUGAAACUGUUUUGCUUGAGUCCGGGAGGGGGGAGCGGAAUUCCCAGUGUAGCGGUGAAAUGCGUAGAUACUGGGAGGAACACCGGUGGCGAAGGCGGCUCCCUGGACCGGUACUGACGCUGAGGUGCGAAAGCGUGGGUAGCAAACA
rnacentral:rRNA from 1 species